rnacentral:rRNA from 1 species
AUGACGUGGCUCUUGCACCAUGCUCUGCUCCUGGUGUUCAUGCUGUGGUUGCACCAUGCUCUGCUCCUGGUGUUCAUGCUGUGGUUGCACCAUGCUCUGCUUCUCAUGUUCGCCAACAGAGUCCGAGGCAGAGGAGCAGUCCACGAAGCAGAGCUUGAGGCGGCCGUCCUGGCGCUGGGCGUGGAGGUACACCUGGGGCUUCACGGCCACGGCCUCCAGCACGAGGCGCCCGUCGCGGCGGUGCGGGCGCACCCGCAGGCACGGCCCGGCAUCGUCGCCGCGCCGACGCGACAUGGACGGCAGCGGCGGCGGGAACGCGCGCUGAGGCCGCGCGCGGUGGUACUGCACCGCCUUCAGCGUCAGCUCCUCCUCCUCCUCUUCGCCUUCUUGCAAUGCCGGCGGCGAGACGAAGUCGGCGGCGACGGUAUCGUCGGUAUGGUGGGAAGUCGGCGGCGCGUAGAGGAGGGAUGCCAGGUCGAGAAAGUCGCCGCGGGUGCCGGUCUCGCAGCCGAGGCUCUCGGUGCAGAGGCCGAGGCUCUCGUGGCUCAUGGACCGCCGCACCGUCGCCAUCGGGUAGGUCGCCUUGGCCUUGGCCGGCGUGGGCGGGGCCUUGGUGGCGCAGUCGUCGUCAGCCGGGGCCUGGAUGGCGCUCCACAUGUCCAGCUGCUGCGACGGUGGCAUCGGCGCCGGCAUGCGAGUGCGAGUGUGAGGAGGAGGGACGUCCAGCGCCGGCAUGACAUGGCACACCGCCACCGUCAUCUCGAACGAUCUACAAAAAGAUCGCAGCCGAAGGUGGAGAUGAAGCUUGCUGGAGGAAUGAGUCUGUGCACAAACUGCACUAUGAAGAACAUAAUUUUAAAGAUUAGCAAGGACCCUACAGAGUCUUCCGGCUGGCUUGCCCAUUGCUCCUUAAUACUUAAAACUAUUGUCACACACAACAAAUGCCCAUUUCCAAGAUUGUACUACUAG